rnacentral:lncRNA from 1 species
AAACUCAGUUGUUCCAGAGAUCUUUUAAAUGAUUUUGUGGAAAAACAACAGCACAACAACCUUUUUGAAAGUAAUUAAGAGGCAAGCAACUACCCAAAGAAAAUACAAACUUCAAGGUUCUUCGCUACGGAAGAAAAAGUUAUUACUCUUCUGUGCUAUCACUGAGAAAGGAUUAAUUCUACAUCCUGAGAAGCUUCUCCAUAUGCUUGUGAUGAGUAUGAACCCCCAGUCUUCUGAACAGUCCUGGACUGCUGACCUCACGCUCUGUACCUGGAACUCCAAUAGUGCUACUGAGGCAGGUUCUUGAGAUUAAUAUUCAGCACUUGGAGCAGAUCAGUGUGCUUCAGUGUGGUCCAGCAGAAUCAUUAAACAGGAAGAACCAACAGAUCUGCACAUUUGCUGAAGAAAAGUUAGAGGGGCAGAAGAACGAAGUGAAAAAUGACCCUUUACCAUUAUUGGAAUCUGAAGCUUAGUAAUUCUCAUUUGAGGCAGUAGAUGUGAAUGUAGGUAAAUUUAGGAUUAACUGAUAAUUAACCGUUUUGUUUGUUCUGGCUUCUGCGGCAUUCUUGGGGGGAAAAAAAAAAAAAAAAAAAAGUCACUUUCUUGGUAGAAUUUAUAAGUGUUCUGAAAUAAAUUUUAGAGGGGAAAUCUGACUCCCUGCA